UACGAAUGGGGCAAGCGUUGUUCGGAAUCACUGGGCUUAAAGCGUGCGCAGGCGGUCUUGCAAGUCAGGGGUGAAAUCCCGGGGCUUAACCCCGGAAUUGCUUUUGAAACUGCAAGACUAGAAUAUGGGAGAGGUUAGCAGAAUUCCGAGUGUAGAGGUGAAAUUCGCAGAUAUUCGGAGGAAUACCAGUGGCGAAGGCGGCUAACUGGACCAUUAUUGACGCUCAGGCACGAAAGCGUGGGGAGCAAACGGG
rnacentral:rRNA from 1 species